CUGGAGGGAGGCCUCUGAACCACACCGCUGGUGUGGUCCCCAGCAAGCUAACCUCCAUAAGCUGCGGGGUCCUCAUGUGCAAAACGUAAGAGUGGCCACCUCAGAGUCAGGAGGCCCGAAGCAGACAAUGCAUGUCACAUGUUUAGUGCUUGGCACUAAGAAAGUCCCAGGUAAAGAGGGUUGUGAGGCACGAGUCAUCUGUGGGGCAGCAGCUCUGAAGAGCAUGGCAGCAACGGAUCUGGAGGGUCUCAGCAUUGCCAACUGACCGGAAGACCCAAGAUAUCCAAGAAUUCUCUGGAAAUGAGAGUCACCCCCUCUGCUAGCCUCCAGUCAAAUCUGUCUUUUAAAAAAAUGCUCCCUGGAAACCAUCAAGAAAAUCCUUUAGGAAAUUCUGAAUAUUUAUAGAUUUUUUUUCGCAAUUUCAAUUUACAUAAAACUCACCACCCGGGAGAAAAUGCCUGAGUCAGGUUGAGAGCUGGAGCUGGUAGAUUUGUUGUGUGGGGUUAAUGUGGAGUUUUCAGUCCUCGCUGAGGCGGAAUUGCCUGAAUGAUCGUCUCUCUCUGCAUAACACUCAAACUCUAAUGGCAACAACAUGAAAUAAUAUCUCACUGGCUGUCUGGUUUCUCUCCCCAGGGCAUCGAUGCCAUGAGUUUGCUGUCCAUCCUUCCCAAGGUAUUUUGUACAUAUAUCAGCAAAUACAUAUCUCUUCCUUCCUUCUUUUAUAUACAAACAGUGACAUACUCUACAAACUGUUCUGCACUUGCUUUUUAAAAAAAAAUUAAUAUAUUUUGGAGAUUGCAUCACAGGCUGCUGUGUUUUAUGAAUUUAUUUUUUCCGUUUCAUGGCAUUGUUACAUGGAUGUGCCACAGUUUAUUUGACUGGUCUCCUACUUGUGGAUGUUUAGAUGGUUUCUCAUCUUUUGCUCCUGCAGGGAAUAACUUAUGUACAUAUGUAUGUGUAUAAGUAUGUAUAUAUAUAAUAAUAUAUAUAAUUCUCCAUCUGUGCUGGUAUAACUACAUAGGAUGAAUUCCUAGGAGUAGAAUUGCUGGGUCCAAUGCCAUAUGCAUUCCAAACAAGCCUCUUUUAAGAAAGCUGGUGGGAUAGCCUUGGAGUGAGUUAGAAGUUCAGUGGGGGACUCAAGCAGCGAAUCCUGGGAAGUACCUCUGGGACCUUCUGAUCAUAUUCCUUUAAAGAACUUUGAAGGCUCAUAAAGGGUUCCAUUUCCAUCUUUGCAUUUAAGAAAACGUGCAUACUUCUCAUACUUCCUCCUUCUCCCUCGUUUAGUAGAAGAAGAGGAAAGAGGAGGAGAGAAAUAAUCAAGUCUGGCCUAAGAGAAUCCAUGAUAUUGACAAAUACAUAUUUUAAUAUAGCAUACUUUCCGACAAGUGAACCCUAACGAGUCCUCCGGAUUAUCUAGACCUUUUAUGUUCAUUCUCGUGAAAAGGCAAAGGUUCGUGUCAAAGAUGAUACAUCCCAUGGUUUUGGUGGUGUCAGGAGAGGUUCAUCAGCUCCAGUCCUAACUAUGAAGUUCCAGGAGGAGGUCUGCGAAGCAUUGGAAGACAUCAAAUCAUGAAAUCAAGAAUUACUGUUGGUAGUGUCAGCAAAGCAGAUAAGUCUUCAUUUUGUUCUUGUUUUUAUUUUUGAAUAGGUAUUACCUACGAGUUCAAAGGUAUGAAAGGCCUUGCAUAUAUGAUUUCUCGACAAGGGUUGAUGACGAGUUUUCUGCUUUAUCAACCAAUUGCCAAGAAAAAAAAAUGCAGCAGCACAUGCCGGUUCCCCAGGCAUUCUAGUGCAGGCAGCUUCUUGUCGAAAAGGCUCACAACAGGAGUCCUCCUUUGUCUGCUCACUUUCAGCCCUAGGCCUGGGCCUCCUGGGGCCACUGAGUCAAAGCUCACUUUUUGUGAGUGACCUUGACCCUGUAACACUGGGAAGAACCAUUGGGAUUGGGCGGAGUGUUGACGGGCUCCAUGAAUCAGGAUAGACAUACAUUCCAGGCUGUCUAAAGUAAAAUUCUAACAUCUUGAGGAACUUUCCUCAGGUAUCCUGGGUGCCCCUCCACGUCUCCUAAGGCCUGUCAUUGCUAAGUUCAGCACAACUGUUUCUGCCAGGCUGUUUUUGUUUUUCUCAUCAAUCUUUUUAAAGUAAAUAAAUUAAUGAACAAAUGACUCAAAAAACAAACCCAAACAACCAAAACCAGAAAAGCUACAGUAGUUAAAAACCAUGAGGCCACAUCAGGCCUGAAGGAGCUCUCACAGGUCCCUUGCUCUCUCUAAGCUGGGUGCAUUUGUCACCACUGCAGUCAAAAUGUAUAAUGACAAUCUUAUUUAUGACAGGAGACAUGUUUUAAAACAGUUGUUUUAAAACAACUGACAGAGCUGCAAGAUGGGAAACAACAAGAAAGUGCGAUUUUUUUGGGGGGUGGAGAGGGGGAUAGGAUGCUGGCAAAGGAGAACAGUAUUUUCCUUAUUAAAAGUUGGAAUUCAUCCUUUAUUCCUGGAGCAAAUAAAGAAACAGAUCCAGGAGGAAAGCUGGGGUAGGGACAUUGCAUAAUGACAGGACUCAGAGGCCUGGGCAGUUGGGCUUGGGGGUGCCCAUGAACUGCCUCUUAGGGGGGUUUCUUAAAGGAGACAAUGCCAUAUGAAGGCAACGUGGAGGCCAGGAGACAGGGGAACUCAGCUUCCACCCCCAUCUCUCUCUGUGCGAUGUCUUUAGUCAACUCAGCUCAACUAGAGCUCUGCCCUUGACAUCAUGCUUUCCAGUCUAGUUGGAAAUGCAAGCUGGACGCCCUCAGAAUGGCAGGAGCACAGUACAGGCUGUUAUACAGAUGGGAAAACCCUGUGGGUUUAGGGAAGAGAAGUAAAAUGUUCUCACCUGUGUUUGAGGAACAAUCUCAUUCCUAUGGCCAAUAACUUGAACUUGUAAUCUUUUCCUUAUAGCUGUUCCUCCCUAAAAGUCUGGAGGGAAAAUUAUAGAAGAUGAGACCUUCCCAGUGUUAACCCUGACCCUACAGGAGAGGAGGAACAGAGAGCAAAAAUCAAGAAUCAAGAUAGUAGGGAAAAGGAAGAAUGAACUUAGACGAGAAAGAGGCUACUGUCUCCAUAGUAAGAGAGAAUUUAAAAAAGGUCUCUGGAGGUGGUGACGGGACCCAGGGCACGUGGGAAGGAAUUAGAGUACUCCUGGCACAUCUUUUAUAUUUAUUUAUUUUUUGGUGGAAGAUUAGCCCUGAUCCAACAUCUGCCCCCAACCGUCUUUUUGCUGAUGAAGAUUGGCCUUGAGCUGACAUCUGUGCCCAUCUUCCUCUACUUUAUAUGUGGGACGCCUGCCACAGCAUGGCUUGAUAAGCAGUGCCUUGGUCCAUGUUGGGGAUUCAAACCUGCGAACCCCAGGCUGCCGAAGCUGAGUGUGCAAACUUAAGUGCUAUGCCACUGGGCUGGCCCCCUGGCACAUCUUUUUUUUUCUUUUAAUGGAGUGGGGGUCUAUGUGAUGGGAAGGACUGAGCAGAAGCUGCUAAUUUCACUGAAGGAUCUUUGACUAUUUCUCUCCUUGGUUUCUAGACAUGAUCGUGUUGAUAUGGGAUCCACUGGAUUGAUUAACCACCUUGUCUUUUUCCAGGUUGGUGGUGAUACAGCCCUGGGCGGCAAAAGGCAGCCAGCCCAGGUCUGCAGGGCCCUGCAUCCAGGAACGUGCUCAUGCCCAGUGGUAGAGCUGGGCUGCCCCCUUACCCUUCAGCUCAGACCUUGGCAAGAUGGAUAGUCAGAGCAUUUGGUCAACUUCUUCCUUGGGGACAUGAAUUCAGAGCUUCUUGGAACACACCCACCCCCUCAACUACCCUGCAAGCAAAGCAGGAUAUGAGUUUUUUAAACCCCAAUAUAUUUUGCCAAAUAAGAGAGUGUUAAUACCCCUCCCUCCCCCACUCUGCAUGAAUUGGAUUACUUAAAGCGUCUUUUCAGAGACGUCAGCAGUUUAAUAGAGGCAAUAAGUCAGGGCUGCCCUUGUGUUUUAUUUUUCUGCCAGUAUUUAGUUAAUUAAAGAAUGCAAAUUAAAACACCUUAAUUUAUAUAAUAUCAAUACCGACGCCUUAAAACAUUUGGCAUAACUGCUCUGGCACGUCCCUUACAUAAACUCUCCAGAGCAGUGCUAAUAAAAAUGAAAAAGGUUGUAAAUCAAAUUUAAUUUAUUCAUCUUCUGUUUGGUACAAAAGCAUAUGCCAAAGUCAAGUUAUUUACGAGCUCGUCAUAACAAUAGGGGUUUUUGUUGGUUGCCAAUGACAAAAAAGGUUUUUCCCAGGGAUGUGUGUUUUAAUUUAGAAAUGUCUCUAGGUGCAUCUAUUUUCUGGGCUCUGAUCUCGAAAAUUUAUAUUUUUGCUCCCAUAUCUCUAGAAAAGAAAUAGAUUUAGAUAUUGAAAAAACAUACUGGGCCUAAAAACAUGGCAACAUUCUCUCAAAAAGGCAUCUGCAACCAUCUAUAUGGAGAUAGACAUAUAUACCACACAUCCCAUGGAGUAUGAAUCUUCAGGUGAGAUAAAAGCUUGGUGAUUUAUAUCCGAUUUCUUAAAUAUUCCAUUAAGAGGAUUAUCUCACAGGAGGCUCUGAUACAGACGGUGUUGGAAGAGAUUUGGUGUGCUGCUGCUUUCUUAGGAGCCUUGGAGAUGAACCACACGUACGUGAAUGAAUAGCCGAACACCAAUUUUCAUCCUUCCCCUCCUUGGCUGAUAUGUCUUUCUUUGUCUGGUGGAUCUGAGCACAGAGUACAUCUUCUUCAGUCCUGAGGGAAGAACAGUGGGCUCCACUCGGGGCUACUGAGGGAUGGCAUGCUCCCUCUGCUUCCCAUGGCAAAGCUCCCUAAUGCAAUUGUCCUUUAAAACUCCCUUCCUCGCCCAGCUUUCAGCUCCACUCUUGACUCAAGCAGGUCUCAGGGCAUGCCAGAGAGUGAGAAAAGUUUUGGAAAAACCCUCUCAACCCUGAUCCUAUCCUGAAAGACCCAAGCAAAUUCACAAAUAGAACCCUCUAGCCAGCCCAUGGCUUGCCCACUUGGGAGGGAGAAACCCAGUACCAUACUGUGCCCUAUUUUAUUCCUUAUCUUCUAACAUGAGCAUUACAAGCUUAGUGGAAGAGGUAGAAUAUUGGGGUUCCUCACUUGGGGUAAUGACGCAGAAGUGGCAAGUGGCAUCUCUCUGGGACCUGGGACAGCCAUGGGUCCUGGGCUGCCACUAGGCUUUUGGGGAGACCUCUACAAAACCCCAAAUAAAAUACCUCCAGGCGGUUCCCUUUCUGAUGUUAAAAACGGUGAUACAUUUUUACACUGCUUCCAUUUGGAUCUAAUGGGACACCCUACUUUGUCUCAGACUCAUUCCAGGAGUGAGCUAGAAACUUACAAUCUGUCAAGUAGCUGCUUCUUUUUUGGGGGGUACCAAGCAGAGCCAGAUAAGGUCUUAGAAAAG
ensembl:lncRNA